ensembl:lncRNA
GUGAGUGUUUAUGUGUACCGUUAGUGCCUGCACAAUUCUGCACGUGCCCACAUGGGACUAUGCAUAUUCACAUGUGUCUGUAUGUGGGUGAACAUGCCUGUGUAACUGGGGGCUAUUCCAGAAGUUGAACCAGAACAGGAACCGUUAAGUGGUGCUUUUUAAAUGUGAUGCUUUAAAAAAGUACCCGUGUGCUGAUAAUGACCACAGUUGUGUCCUAAGCUAUUAACUGCACAUGGCUUCUGUCUGCCUCAGCAAUUCUGAACCCCUGUCCCCAUGGGCACAGGGACACAGCCCAAGACAAACAUGGAAACCAGCUCCUGGGGCUUCUAGGAGACGACAGUUCAUGGCAUACAGCCGAAUCCUCAGGAAACCAGGACUGUGUCGCUUCAGAAAGCCGGGAGCAAGACACGCCCCAGAGCUGGUUUAACCUGCUGUAACUAGACUGGCUGAAUUAACUAUCCCUCAACUGGACACAUGACCACUCAUUCCUAUGGAGGACUUUCAUCUGACAAACAUUUUCUCCUCUCCUUUGUCCAUCCCACUGGGAAGCAUCAACUGGCUACUCCUCCUCCAUCCUGACUCCGCCCCCAUCACCUGUCUGCCUCUCCCUCCUCCACCUUACCUAGUCAGUCGCUUGGAUCCUCCCCAAGCUCCACUGCUUAGCUCAGGCUCAUCAGAGCUCACCUGAACUGCGGUAGCCUCCUCCCCAUCUACCCAUCUACCCCAGCUCCAUUCCCCAUAAAAGCAGGUCUCAGCUUGCCACUUCUCUGCUGCUAAUCCUGUUUUGCAUCAGAGGCCAAGGCCCAGCCCUCAGGGACCAACGAGCAGGACAAACCAGGGUGCCUGAAUAAAACAUGCCUCUUCCAGUCAGUCACCCAGGAGAAACUUACUCAUCCCAGGAGGGGAGGCGGGGGAAGAAGCUCUAGGGAGGAUUCUGGCCCAGCCAACUCUCAUCAACCGAGGUGAGGAAGGGGGACACGGUGGUGGCUCAGCCUGGGGUAAGGACUAGACCCCAUUCCACUUACAAACUGCCCUCUGCUUUUCUUAGAUGUUCAACCUCAUUCAUAAAAUCUGCUCAGUUGCUCUGUCGUGUCCAGCUCUUUGUGACCCCACAGACUGUAGCCUGUUAGGCUCCUCUGUCCAUGGGAUUCUCCAGGCAGGAAUACUGGAGUGGGUUGCCAUUUCCUUCUCCAGGGGAUCUUCCCGACCCAGGGAUUGAACCCUGGUCUCCUGUAUUACAGGCAGAUUCUUUACCAUCUGAGCCACUGGAGAAGCCCCCAUUCAUAACAUAAGAAAUGUAAAUUAAAACUACAAGAUACCAUUUUUCACCUAUCAGAUGAGCGAAACCAGAAACCCAGCAAAAGGGAGCUCAUGCCUGUCGAGGUCAAGGUGUGUGAAAACAGUCUGAAAGUUAAUUGGCACAGUCUCUUUAAAGGGCCAACUGGUAAUACUUGUCAAAAAAUUAUAUAUACAAACUCUUCCUCCUAGCAUUUCCACUUUCAGAAAUUUACCCUGCAGGUAUACAGGUGCCCUGGUGGCUCAGACGGUAAUGCAUCUGCCUGCAAUGCGGGAGACCCGGGUUCGAUUCCUGGGUCGGGAAGAUCCCCUGAAGAAGGAAAUGGCAAUCCACUCCAGUACUCUUGCCUGGAAAAUCCCACGGAUGGAGGAGCCUGAUAGGCUACAGUCCCUGGGGUCGCAAAGAGUCGGACACGACUGAGCAACUUCACUUUCCUUUCCUUUCCUUAUACAGGUGCCCCAGGGUUUUCCCAGUGGAUCAAUGGUAAAGUAUCUGUCAAUGCAGGAGACAGUGCGGGUUCUACCCCAGAAUUCGGAUGAUCCCCUGGAGGAGGAAAUGGCAAUUCACUCCAGUAUUCUUACCUGGAAAAUCCCAGAGACAGAGGACCCUGGCAGACUAUACAGUCCAUGAGGUUGCAAAAGAAUUGGACCUGACUGAGCAACUAAACCAUAACAACACCAUACAGGUGCCCUAACGUAUGUAUAAUAUGCAUCAGGAUAUUCACUGAACUAUAGCUUUCAUAGUUUCCAUUUGGAACCAAAAUAGGAGGGUAGUUAAUAAGUUCUACUUCAGCAAUACAAUUAAAUAUUACGUUCUAUUUAAAAGAAUGAGGCAGCUAAGUACUAAAAUUAAGUGAUCCUAAUUAAGAUUUAUCAUGUGCAAAAGCAAAGUGCAGAACAGUGAGUACAGCAUUUAAAGCUUAUGAUUUAAAAAAAAAAAAAGUAAACAUUUCAUAAGUAUAGAGUGUCUUUGGAAGGAAACAAUCAACAACAGUGUUGUGGAGUGGGAUGCUGGGAGACCAAGAAUAUAAAUGGGAGGAAGACUUUAUGGUGUGUGCCCUUUGAAUUUUGUGAAAUAUUAUCAAAUCCAGCAAAAUAUCAUGAAUGUAUAUUUCAUAUGUAUAUUAUGUAUGUGUGUGUGUAUAGAAUAAUUUUAAGUGUAAGGGACCUUUUAAAAAAUAUGUUUAUUUAUUUAUUUGGCCAUGCCUUGAAGCUUGCAGGAUCUUAGUUCUAUAACCGGGGAUCAAAACUCAGCAGUGGAUGUGCACAGUCCUAACCCCUGCACCCCGAGGGAAUUCCCUAAAAGGAGAGGAUUUUUCUACCCUGCUGCCGUCUAUGGGGUCGCACAGGGUCGGACACGACUGAAGUGACUUAGCAGCAGCAGCAGCAGUGCUCCGUGAGAGAUGGUGAUAAGCGUACUGCAUGGCCCUGCCCCUUCCAGACCUCAAUUUUCCAUCUAUACAAUGGCAGUCUCGGGGACUGCAAGGACAUCAAACCAGUCAAUCCUAAAAGAAGUCAACCCUGAAUAUUCAUGGAAGGACUGAUGCUGAAGCUGAAGCUGCAGUACUUUGACUACAUGAUUUGACAAGCCGACCCAUUGGAAAAGACCCUAAUACUGGGGAAGAUUAACGGCAGGAGGAAAAGGGGGUGACAGAGGAUGAGAUGGUUGGAUAGCAUCACCAACUCAAUGGACAUGAAUUUGAACAAACUCCAGGAGAUAGUGGAGGCCAGAGGAGCCUGGUGUGCUGCAGGUCCGUGAGGUUGCAAAGAAUCAGACACAACUUACCAAAUGAAUAACAGUGAGAGUUUGAGACUAGGUUCCUGCCUUACUUCUUAAUCUUACAGCUAACCAACCAAACCAGUACCGAUGUAGUGGCCAUAAGAUGACCUUUGAUGGGCUGGGGAAGGGAUGGUAUAAAAUGGCAUUAAUGAAUGAGCAAAGUCCGGGAGAUAGUGGAGGACAGGGAAGUUGGGCGUGCUGCAGUCACUGGGGCUACAAAGAGUUGGACAUGACUUAGCAACUAAAAAACAACAACAACAAUAAAAGUCGGAGGCACUGCCAUCAGUUGAACAGGAUCACUCCUGUGGCUUUGGAGCAAGUGAUCAUGGGAAAGCUGCAUCUGCCUGCAUUGGGGACACCUGUCUCUCCUGCAAAUCAGUUCCCUAGGGCUUGGCAGCUUCUUCCCUCCCAUCACCUAUCUGCUUCUUCCAUCACCAAUCUGCCCACCUGCCUCUAUCCCUGAGGCCCUCAGGGAGGAGCUGACCCAGGGAAGGAGCUAGAGACAGCAGUGGAACAAGUUCUAUGGGGCAGAGGGAAGGCGCCUACCUCCCUAUUUAUUAACUGAGGUCCUGGCCUCCCUCCGGCCCUGAUCUAGGCAGAUCAGGCUCUGCCUAGCUUAGCCUGCCUGCCCGCUCCUCCCCACCUCCCUGUGCCCAUUCAAAGGAGGCAGCUCUCAUAUAUGCUGGAGCUUGACACACCCAGCUCCUUCCACCAGUCUAGCCUUCUCCUCUAACAGAAGAUGUCUGUGCCUGAGGCUGGGAGACCUGAGAUGCCUGCUAUGUUGAGCCUCCCUGGGAGGUGAGACCUGGCAAUCUGAGCCUUCAGAGCACACCCAGAGCCCCAGUUAGCAGGCAGCCAUCUCUCUCCAAAGCCUCCUGCUGGGCUCAGCACUGGCCUUUUCUCUCUCUGUCUCUUUACGAAAAAAAAAAGUAUUUAUUUAUUUGGUGGUAUCAGCCUGUAGGAUCUUCAAUCUUCGUUGCAGCAUGCAAGCUCUUAAUUGUGGAAUUGUCUAGUUCCCUGACCAGGGAUCGAACCCAGAUCUCCUGCGCUGGGGGCACGGAGUCUUAGCUACUGGACCAGCAGGGAGUUUCCUGGCCUUUUUCUUAAUGAUCUUAAUGAUGAGAGCCAAAGGGAAAAUACAUGGGAGUCAGAGGAACUGAGGCUGGAUAUUUUCCUGGCCCUUAUUCUCUCUCUCCCAUCCACCCUGGGUUUUCUGUUCCAGAUCAGCCCUAGCCCCAUGAUGAAGUCACUCUCCUUCUUGGGGCCUUCUAGUCCAGCUUCAAGAAGAGGGGCUUGGGCCCAGGAAGCUGCUUGUUACCAGAUGCCCCCAGGUGGUUCCAAGGCAGGUGCUGGGUGGACAGGGUUAAAGAAGCAGCUGUCUUGUACAUUCCAGAAAGGCUUUGUCUUACAUUCCUCCUGGAUGUACCCCUAGAAGCCAAGGGUCUGAAGUGAGCAACCAAGAGGCUGGGGCUUCUGGAAACAAGGCAGAUGAUCCUCUUUGUGGGACUUGACUCUGAAAGCUGCUACCAUCAGUGGUUAGGAUUCUGAGCUUCUACUGCCCGGGGCCCCAGUUCAAUCCCUGGUCAGGGAACAAGAUCAUACAAGCAACACAUUGCAGACAAAUAAAUUAAAAAAAAAAUUUUUUUUAAAGAAAUACCAAUCUUACAACCCAGCCAUUGCGUCCUUCGAUUCUUACCCAAGAAUGAAAACAUGUCCACACAAAGACGUUACACAAAUGUUUGUAGGAGUUUUUCUGGUAAUAACCCCAAACUGGAAACAACACAAAUAUCGACCAUUAGAAUGGAUAAACAAAUAUGGUAUAUCCAUACAACAGAAUGUUACUCAGCAGUCAAAAGGAACAAACGAUUGAUUCACACAACAUGGAUGAACUUCAAAAUAAUUAUGUUGAGUGAAAGAAGACCAAAAAGAGUAUAUUCUGUUUGAUUUCAUUUAGGUAAAAUUCUAGAAAGGGAAUCAGUGGUUACCUGGGGCGAAGGUAGAGAGAAAGAGGGAGAGAUUACAAAAGGGCACGGGACUUCCCUGGUGGUCCAGUGGUUAAAACUCCUUGCUCCCAAUGCCGGGAGCAUGACUUUGAUGCCUGGUCUUGGUCCUGCAUACUCCACAACACAGCCAAAAUAAUAGUGAUAAUGGCAUGAAGAAACUUCUAGGUAUGAUGAGUAGGUUCAUUACCUUUAUUAAAGUAAUGUUGACACGUGUUGAAACCCAAAUUAUUUUGUGCUUUGAAUAUGCACCGUUUGUUAUGUGUCCAUUGUAAUUUAAACAAAUUUUAUUGGAAGAUAUUUGCUUCGUAUUGUGCUGAUUUCUGCUAUCCAUCAACAUGAACCAGCC